rnacentral:rRNA from 1 species
GACGAACGCUGGCGGCGUGCCUAACACAUGCAAGUCGGGCGAGAAACUUCGGUUUCUAGCGGCGGACGGGUGAGUAACACGUGGGUAACCUGCCUCAAAGAGGGGGAUAGCCUCCCGAAAGGGAGAUUAAUACCGCAUAAUAUCAGGAUCUCGCAUGGGAACUUGAUUAAAGGAGCAAUCCGCUUUGAGAUGGACCCGCGGCGCAUUAGCUAGUUGGUGAGGUAACGGCUCACCAAGGCGACGAUGCGUAGCCGACCUGGGAGGGUGAUCGGCCACAUUGGAACUGAGCCACGGUCCAGACUCCUACGGGAGGCAGCAGUGGGGAAUAUUGCACAAUGGGCGAAAGCCUGAUGCAGCAACGCCGCGUGAGUGAUGAAGGCCUUCGGGUUGUAAAACUCUGUCUUCUGGGACGAUAAUGACGGUACCAGAGGAGGAAGCCACGGCUAACUACGUGCCAGCCGCCGCGGUAAAAC